UACGUAGGGUGCGAGCGUUGUCCGGAAUUACUGGGCGUAAAGAGCUCGUAGGUGGUUUGUCGCGUUGUUCGUGAAAUCUCACGGCUUAACUGUGAGCGUGCGGGCGAUACGGGCAGACUUGAGUACUGCAGGGGAGACUGGAAUUCCUGGUGUAGCGGUGGAAUGCGCAGAUAUCAGGAGGAACACCGGUGGCGAAGGCGGGUCUCUGGGCAGUAACUGACGCUGAGGAGCGAAAGCGUGGGGAGCGAAC
rnacentral:rRNA from 2 species